rnacentral:rRNA from 1 species
GACGAACCGUGCAAACGUUGUUCGGAAUCACUGGGCUUAAAGGGCUCGUAGGCGGGCUAUCAAGUCAGGGGUGAAAUCUUUCGGCUUAACCGGAAAAUUGCCUUUGAUACUGAGAGUCUUGAGGGAGGUAGGGGCAUGUGGAACUUCCGGUGGAGCGGUGAAAUGCGUUGAUAUCGGAAGGAACGCCGGUGGCGAAAGCGACGUGCUGGACCUUUUCUAACGCUGAGGCGCGAAAGCUAGGGGAGCGAACGG